rnacentral:lncRNA from 1 species
CUCCAAAAUACCAUGUUAAGGAUGAAAACAAAGCUACUGACCGGGUGAAAAUAUUUGCAAACCACCCAUCUGACAAAGGGUUCAAAUCUAGGAUAUCUCUCUCAAAACUCAACAGUUAAAAACAACAAAACAAGACAAAAACUUCCAUUACAAGUGGGUAAAGGUGGGAAAACUCAAACUGUUUUUCCUCUGCACUCAUAUAGCAACAAUCAACACAGAAGACUUCUGUGACCAAAUGUGGGAGAUUUCUUCUCCACCAACAAGCAAGCAAUCAAUUCUGCAGCAGACACCAGCUGGGUGUCCUCAAUCCAAUUCUAAUCUGAUGCUAUCUAUCUGGAGGUAACGUCAGACACCACGGGGAUGAGCACUCAGUCCCAUGGAACUUCUCCCCACUUCCAAUGCCAAUUGCAAGGAAUGUGCUUCUGACUCACUGGCUAUGAAUCAGAGAUCUCACGACCUCUUCCUUGUGUUUAAUUAAUUUGCUAGAGCGGCCCACAGAACUCAGGGAAACACUUAAGUUUGCCAGUUUAUUAUAAAGGAUAUAGAUGAAGAGAUGCAUAGGGAGAGGAAUGGGGAAGGGACACGGAGCUUCCAUGACGUCCGCAGGUGCAGCACUUUUCAGGAACUUGUAUGUGUUCAGCUGUCCAGAAGCUCUCUGAACCCAGUCCUUUUGGGUUUUUACAGAAGCUUCAUUAUGUAGGCAUAAUUGAUUAAAUCGUUUAAUCGACUUACUCUUCAGGUGACCAGUCGCCAUCCUGAAGCUACGGAGGUGCUCCCAGCCAUCAGUCAAUUCAUUAAGACACAAAAAGACAUCUCUUUGGAGAGUCUAAGGAUUUUAGGGGUUGUUUGGCAGGAAACAGGGUUGAAGACCAAAUAUAUAUUUCACAAUAUCACAAUGGGUGAAAGACAUAAAGAGACAUUUUAUCAACAAGGAUAUAUAGAUAGAAAAUAAACACAUAAAAGAUGCUUACAUCGCUAACCAUCAGGAAAAUGCAAAUUAAGAUCAUAAUGAGAUAUUAUUACUAUGUACCUAAUAGAACAGUUAUAGUAAAACAUAGUGACAAUAUCAAAUGCUGGCUAGGAUGCGGGGAAACUGAAUAUCUAAUACAUUGAAAAUGGGAAUGUAAAAUAAUACACCCACUCUAUAAAACUGGUUGUCAACUUCUUAAAAAGAACUAAGCAUACACUCACUAUACUACAUGAACCAGCAAUUGCCCUCCCAUGCAUUUGUCCCAGAAAAAUGAAAACUUAUGUACACACAAAAAACCGUGCACAAAUGUUUGUAGCAGAUUUAUUUGUAACAGCAAAACACUGGAAACAACCAGUGUAAGACAAACUUGUCUUACAAGUGAAUGGCUAAACAAACAGUAUGCAUCCAUACAAUAAAAUAACACUCAGCAAUAAAAAAAUAAAUUAUUUAUAUAUGCAACAACUUGUAAGGAUCUCAAAGGCAUUAUGUUGAGUGAAAAAUCAAACUCAAAAUGUUACAUACUGUAUGAUCCCAUUUAUAUAACAUUGUCAAAAUUACAGAGAUAUAGAAGAGGUUAGCAUUUGCCAGAGACUUAGUAUGGUGAGGGUGGGUGUCACUAUAAUGAGGUAGCACCAGGGAGACCUUUAUGGUUAUGGAAUUGUCUGUAUUUUGACUAUAGUGGUGAUUACACAAACAUACACAGGAGAGACUGAACAUAAGCAAAAGCUAGGAAUAUUACCAGACCCAGCUGGAAAUAAUGUUCAGCCGGGUGGGGAGGUUCAUGUCUGUAAUCCCAGCACUUUGGGAGGCUGAGGUGGGUGGAUCAAUUGAGGUCAGGAGUUCGAGACCAGCCUGGCCAACAUGGUGAAACUCUGUCUCUACUAAAAAUACAAAAAUUAGCCAGCCGUGGUGGUGCACACCUGUAAUUCCAGCUACUAGGGAGGCUGAGGCAGGAGAAUUGCUUGAACCCAGGGGGCAGAGAUUGCAGUGAGCCAAAAUUGCACCAUUGCACGCUAGCCUGGGCGACAGAGUGAGACCCCAUCUCAAAAAAAAAAAAAAAAAAAGAAAGUAAGAAUAUUCAAACACUUAUUACAAUAUAGACAUCGACUCUUAAAUUAUCCCAAAUUAUGAUAUAAUCAUAUUCAGUUGAUGGGGAAUAGAAAGUGUUCACGUGUGGCAUUAAGUCAGCAAUGGUGGAGCAUUAUAUUACCAUCUGUAAUUGUGGGAAGUCAAAAGUAACGCCUAAUACUGAAAAAUGAAGAAGUGGCAAUAUGAACAUGUUAUAUGAGAUAUGGCAGUAAAAGUCUAAGAUAAUCUAUUAAAAAUUGAGAAUAGUUGCUUCUGGGAGAUAGAAUAUGGUUGGAUGUUAGGGAGACUCCAAUUUUUAUAUGUAAAACUUAUAUAACUAUUUAUUUGACUCUUAGUGUGUACAUGUAACUUUGAGAAAGAUAAACACUAAUUUAGAUCAUUACACGAAUGUUAUAGGAGUUACACACAAAGGCCAGGUGGGGUGGCUUACACCUGUAAUCCCAGCACUUUGGGAGGUGAGGAUGGUGGAUCACUAGAGGUCAGGAGUUUGAGACCAGCCUGGUCAACACAGUGGAACCCUGUCUCCUGGCAUGGUGGCAUGCGCCUGUAAUCCCAACUACUUGGGAGGCUGAGACAGGAGAAUCGCUUGAGCCUGGGAGGCAGAGGUUGCAGUGAGCCAAGAUCACACCACUGCACUCCAGCCUGGGCAACAAAGUGAGACUCCAUCUUAAAAAAAAAAAAAAAAAAAAAAAAAAAAAAAAAAAAAAAAAAAAAAAAAAAAAAAAUUUUUUUUUUUACAUGGGAUGGCAAAGUACAGAACAGCCAACAAUAUUGUGAAAAACAACCAAGUUGGAGGACUCACACUGCCCGAUUUUAAGACUUACUAUAAAACUACAGUAAUCAAAGACAGUGUGGUCAAAAAUACAGACACAUAGAUCAAUGGAACAGAAUGGAAGGCCCAGAAAGCUAUCCACACAAAUACAGUCAACUCAUUUUUGACAAAGAUGCUGGAACAGUUAGAUGUUUAUAGACAAAGAAAAAAAUCCUUAACAUAGGCCUUACAGCUUACAUGAAAAUUAAUAUGAAGUCAAAAUAGAUCAUAGACUUAACAUAUAACACAAAACAAUAAAACUGCUAGAAGAAAGCAUAGGAGAAAUCUACUUGACUUUGGAUGUGCUGACUAGUUUUUAGAUACAAUACCAAAAACA